AGAGUUUGAUCCUGGCUCAGGAUGAACGCUAGCGACAGGCUUAACACAUGCAAGUCGAGGGGCAGCGGGGGCGUAGCAAUAUGCCUGCCGGCGACCGGCGCACGGGUGAGUAACACGUAUGUAACCUGCCCUAUGCAGGGGGAUAACCCGGAGAAAUCCGGCCUAAUACCGCGUAACACCUUAGGGGAGCAUUCUCUUGAGGUUAAAGGAGAGAUCCGGCAUAGGAUGGACAUGCGUCGCAUUAGGUAGACGGCGGGGUAACGGCCCACCGUGCCGAAGAUGCGUAGGGGUUCUGAGAGGAAGGCCCCCCACACUGGUACUGAGACACGGACCAGACUCCUACGGGAGGCAGCAGUGAGGAAUAUUGGUCAAUGGCCGAGAGGCUGAACCAGCCAAGUCGCGUGAGGGAAGAAUGUCCUAAGGAUUGUAAACCUCUUUUGUCGGGGAGCAAAAAGGCUCUGCGGAGUCGUAUUGAGAGUACCCGAAGAAAAAGCAUCGGCUAACUCCGUGCCAGCAGCCGCGGUAAUACGGAGGAUGCGAGCGUUAUCCGGAUUUAUUGGGUUUAAAGGGUGCGCAGGCGGCGUGUCAAGCAAGCGGUAAAAUAGCGGGGCUCAACCCCGUCGAGCCGUUUGAACUGGCGCGCUUGAGUUCAGGCGAGGUAGGCGGAAUUCGUGGUGUAGCGGUGAAAUGCAUAGAUAUCACGAAGAACCUCCGAUUGCGAAGGCAGCUUACCAGUCUGCGACUGACGCUCAGGCACGAAAAGUGUGGGUAUCGAACAGGAUUAGAUACCCUGGUAGUCCACACAGUAAACGAUGAGCGCUAGGUGUCCGGGUCGCAUGAGACUUGGGUGCCCGAGCGAAAGCGUUAAGCGCUCCACCUGGGGAGUACGCCGGCAACGGUGAAACUCAAAGGAAUUGACGGGGGCCCGCACAAGCGGAGGAACAUGUGGUUUAAUUCGAUGAUACGCGAGGAACCUUACCCGGGCUCAAACGACUCAGGAAUAUAUUGGAAACGAUGUAGCCAGCAAUGGUCUGAGUCGAGGUGCUGCAUGGUUGUCGUCAGCUCGUGCCGUGAGGUGUCGGCUUAAGUGCCAUAACGAGCGCAACCCCUACCGCCAGUUGCCAACGGGUAAAGCCGGGAACUCUGGCGGGACUGCCGGCGCAAGCUGCGAGGAAGGCGGGGAUGACGUCAAAUCAGCACGGCCCUUACGUCCGGGGCGACACACGUGUUACAAUGGCAGGUACAGCGGGAAGCCACCUGGUGACAGGGAGCGGAACCCGAAAGCCUGUCUCAGUUCGGAUUGGAGUCUGCAACUCGACUCCAUGAAGCUGGAUUCGCUAGUAAUCGCGCAUCAGCCAUGGCGCGGUGAAUACGUUCCCGGGCCUUGCACUCACCGCCCGUCA
rnacentral:rRNA from 1 species